UGUAGAUUUAUGGAGUUUUCUUGUUGUGC
rnacentral:piRNA from 1 species